GAUGAACGCUGACAGAAUGCUUAACACAUGCAAGUCAACUGGUGGCGGACGGGUGAGUAACGCGUGAGGAACCUGCCUCUCACAACGGGAUAGCCUCGGGAAACCGGGAUUAAUACCGUAUGGUGAGCGAUGGCCUCGCGUCUGAUUAGUUAGUUGGUGGGGUAACGGCCUACCAAGACGACGAUCAGUAACCGGCCUGAGAGGGUGAACGGUCACAUUGGAACUGAGACACUGUCCAAACUCCUACGGGAGGCAGCAGUGGGGAAUCUUGCACAAUGGGGGGAACCCUGAUGCAGCGACGCCGCGUGAGCGAUGAAGGUUUUCGAAUCGUAAAGCUCUGUCCUAUGGUGAGCGGUACCAUAGGAGGAAGCCCCGGCUAACUACGUGCCAGCCGCCGCGGUAAUAC
rnacentral:rRNA from 1 species